rnacentral:rRNA from 1 species
CAAAAACAUGUCUUUUUGAUGAUGAUUUAAGGUCGGGCCUGCCCAAUGAUUUUUAAAUGGCCGCAGUAUUUUGACUGUGCAAAGGUAGCAUAAUCAUUUGUUUCCUAAUUAGGAGCUGGAAUGAACGGUCUGAUGAAAGACCAGCUGUCUCUAUUUUAUUUUGAUAGAAUUUUAUUUUUGAGUAAAAAAGCUUAAAUUUAGUAUAAAGACGAGAAGACCCUAUAGAGUUUAAUAGUUUUUUUAGGUUGGAUUUGGGAUGAUUUCUGUUUUCUAAUCGAUUUAACUAUUUUGUUGGGGUGACAUAAAAACUUGAAAAACUUUUUAUUAUUUUAACGCUGAUUGGCGGGCAUUUGAUCCUAUGUUUUGGAUUACAAGAUUAAAUUACCUUAGGGAUAACAGCGUAAUUUUUUCUGAAAGUUCUUAUUGAUGAAGAAGUUUGCGACCUCGAUGU